rnacentral:tRNA from 1 species
CAAAGUGUAGCUUAAGUUAAAGCACCCGGCCUACGCCCAGGAGAUUUCACCAUCGUGACCACUUUGA